GGUUUCCUACGGGGGGCAGCAGUAGGGAAUUUUCGUCAAUGGGCGCAAGCCUGAACGAGCAAUGCCGCGUGAACGAGGAAGGUCUUCGGAUCGUAAAGUUCUGUUGAAGGGGAAAAAGAGCGGGGAGAGGAAAUGAACUCCGAUUGAUAUUACCCUUCGAGGAAGUCACGGCUAACUACGUGCCAGCAGCCGCGGAAAUACGUAGGGGGCGAGCGUUAUCCGGAAUGAUUGGGCGAAAAGGGUGCGUAGGCGGCCUGCUAAGUUGGGAGUGAAAGGUACCGGCUC
rnacentral:rRNA from 1 species